GGGCCCGUAGCUCAGUGGACAGAGUGCUUGGUUCCGGACCAAGUUGCCCGGGGUUCAAAUCCCCGCGGGCUCG
rfam:Halosimplex carlsbadense 2-9-1 contig_4, whole genome shotgun sequence.